UACAGAGGGGGCUAGCGUUGCUCGGAAUCACUGGGCGUAAAGCGCACGUAGGCGGAUCUUUAAGUCAGGGGUGAAAUCCUGGAGCUCAACUCCAGAACUGCCUUUGAUACUGAGGAUCUCGAGUCCGGGAGAGGUGAGUGGAACUGCGAGUGUAGAGGUGAAAUUCGUAGAUAUUCGCAAGAACACCAGUGGCGAAGGCGGCUCACUGGCCCGGUACUGACGCUGAGGUGCGAAAGCGUGGGGAGCGAACAGG
rnacentral:rRNA from 1 species